rnacentral:rRNA from 1 species
GAGUUUGAUCUUGGCUCAGAGCGAACGCUGGCGGCAGGCUUAACACAUGCAAGUCGAACGCCCUUUCGGGGGGAGUGGCAGACGGAUGAGUAACGCGUGGGAACGUGCCCAUCGGUUCGGGAUAACCCAGGGAAACUUGGGCUAAUACCGGAUACGACCGUGAGGUGAAAGAACUUCGCCGAUGGAUCGGCCCGCGUCUGAUUAGCUGGUUGGUAGGUAACGGCCUACCAAGGCGACGAUCUGUAGCUGGUCUGAGAGGACGACCAGCCACACUGGGACUGAGACACGGCCCAGACUCCUACGGGAGGCAGCAGUGGGGAAUUUUGGACAAUGGGCGCAAGCCUGAUCCAGCCAUUCCGCGUGCAGGAUGAAGGCCCUCGGGUUGUAAACUGCUUUUGUACGGAACGAAACGCGCUGUGUUAAUACCACGGCGUAAUGACGGUACCGUAAGAAUAAGCACCGGCUAACUACGUGCCAGCCGCCGCAGUAAG